rnacentral:tRNA from 1 species
GGCCUAUUGGAGAAGCGGCUUAACUCAUAUCCCUCUCAAGGAUACAUUCAUCGGUUCGAAUCCGAUAUAGGUCACCA